rnacentral:rRNA from 1 species
CUACGGGCGGCUGCAGUGAGGAAUUUUGCGCAAUGGGGGAAACCCUGACGCAGCAACGCCGCGUGAGUGAAGAAGGCCCUUGGGUCGUAAAGCUCUGUCAAUGGGGAAGAAGUUACUUGGUAUUAAUAGUGCCUUGUAUUGACGGUACCCAUGAAGGAAGCACCGGCUAACUCCGUGCCAGCAGCCGCGGUAAUACGGGGGGUGCAAGCGUUAUUCGGAAUUAUUGGGCGUAAAGGGCACGCAGGCGGUCCUGUCAGUCAGAUGUGAAAGCCCGGGGCUCAACCCCGGACGUGCAUUUGAAACAGCAGGACUUGAGUACGGGAGAGGAAAGGGGAAUUCCUGGUGUAGAGGUGAAAUUCGUAGAUAUCAGGAGGAACACCGGUGGCGAAGGCGCCUUUCUGGACCGAUACUGACGCUGAGGUGCGAAGGCGUGGGUAGCGAACGGGAUUAGAUACCCGCGUAGUC